UACAGAGGGUGCAAGCGUUGUUCGGAAUUAUUGGGCGUAAAGGGUGCGUAGGCGGUGCGGUAAGUCUGUAGUGAAAUCUCUGGGCUCAACUCAGAGUCUGCUAUAGAAACUGCCGUGCUUGAGUGUGGGAGAGGUGAGUGGAAUUCCCGGUGUAGCGGUGAAAUGCGUAGAUAUCGGAAGGAACACCUGUGGCGAAAGCGGCUCACUGGACCAUAACUGACGCUGAGGCACGAAAGCUAGGGGAGCAAACAGG
rnacentral:rRNA from 1 species